AGUUAUAGGGGUGUACGAUUCAAGGGGAGAGAGGAGAUUGAGUGGUUGCAUCACUCUCACUACCUGCACUCCUGAGGCCAGCUACCAGAGAGAAGGACACAUGAGAAGAGAGAAAGAGAGAAAGAAAGGGAGAGCGCACAGAGACAGGAAGGUCUGAGAUUGAGGACAAAGGCCAUGGUUGCACAGAAUGACUGAGAUUUGAAGCCCAUGACAGCCUUAGCUGAUUGAAAAGUGAUUGAAGCCUUUUGUUGCUGAGAAUCUAUUAGAUCGUUUAGAGAAUUUGUUUCAGGGAAUGGGAGAGCGAAAUUCGAGAGAGAAUGUCGAAAUCGGCUAAGAUCGAAGAUAAAGACGGAGAUUUUGACGGGUCUACUCGGCUGCUGAUACUGACAACAUGUAAAUCAGAGCUGGUGAGAAUGGCAACAGAGAAGCUCAGCUCGACCCAGAGUUAGGUUUCUGAGAAAUGAGAAAGGUUUCUGUAACAUGCUCUUCUUCUUCCUCUUCAUCUUCUGGACCCGCUCACCCUAUGGGCACCCGCGCCGGUGGGCUUGGCCCUUCCAUCUCCUCCAACCGCAGGUGCAUAUAUUUUUAAGAAGCAUAUUAACAAUGCACAAGGAGGAGCCAAGGCAAGUGUAGCCACUGUAAACACGAAGGAUUCCAGUAUUGCUUCUGCGCAACACGACGUUGUACAAAAUGGAACCCGUGUACAUCCCCAAUUACAUGGAGGUUCUGAUACGCCCAUUGCAAGCACGCUUCCCGGACAGCUGAAGCUUCAGCCUUUCAGAAAAGCUCCCGAACUUUUCCAAAGGCUCCGACUUCUCAGAGAAGCUCCGGAACUGUUCCAAAGCUGCCAGUAGCAAUUUUCCCAGUACACAUGCCCUUGAUACAGCUCACGCUACUGUUCCCUGUACCGCUACAAGUGAGUGGCACUUUUUCUCAAUGGAAGAUGAUAGUUCAAAUGUGUCAAUGGUUCUGGAAAUACGAUUACAAGUUUACGUACAUUCAGUCUACCAACAACAUUUCUAUGCACACAACUCAAGA